rnacentral:rRNA from 1 species
UACAGAGGGUGCGAGCGUUAAUCGGAAUUACUGGGCGUAAAGCGCGCGUAGGCGGCUUUGCAAGUCGGGUGUGAAAUCCCCAGGCUCAACCUGGGAACUGCAUUCGAGACUGCAUUGCUAGAGUAUGGGAGAGGGAAGUGGAAUUUCCGGUGUAGCGGUGAAAUGCGUAGAUAUCUGGAGGAACACCGGUGGCGAAGGCGGCAUCCUUGACCAAUAUUGACGCUGAGGAGCGAAAGCCAGGGAGCAAACGGG